CAUUAUUGAUAUUAAUUGUCUACCUUUAGUGCUGGCUCUUGCAAGUGCACGUUGGGGACAUAUAUCCAAUACCCUCUUGUGAACCAUUGGCCUUUGCUAGCUUCGGCUGGUAAAGGAUUUUACACACAUGAAUGUAAUGAAAUAAUCUUGUGCUGAGCACUAAAUAUACAACUUUCAACAACGGAUCUCUUGGCUCUCGCAUCGAUGAAGAACGCAGCGAAAUGCGAUAAGUAAUGUGAAUUGCAGAAUUCAGUGAAUCAUCGAAUCUUUGAACGCACCUUGCACCCUUUGGUAUUCCAAAGGGUAUGCCCGUUUGAGUGUCAUUAUACUCUCACACUCUCUAAUUAGUUAGAGAGCGGUGGAUUUGGAUGCUGCCUGGUACUUACUGUCAGGCUCAUCUUAAAUAAAUUAGUGCGACUCUUAGUUAAACAUAGUACGGCGUGAUAAGUAACCCUCGCUGUUUUCUGUCUGAUUAGGAGCUGUGCUUCAAACCGUCUCAGGACAAUAUUUGAUAACUUGACCUCAAAUCGAGUAGGAUUACCCGCUGAACUUAAGCAUAUCAAUAA
rnacentral:rRNA from 1 species